UACGUAGGGUGCAAGCGUUGUCCGGAAUUAUUGGGCGUAAAGAGCUCGUAGGCGGUCUGUCGCGUCUGCUGUGAAAACCUGGGGCUUAACCCCGGGCCUGCAGUGGGUACGGGCAGACUAGAGUGUGGUAGGGGAGACUGGAAUUCCUGGUGUAGCGGUGAAAUGCGCAGAUAUCAGGAGGAACACCGGUGGCGAAGGCGGGUCUCUGGGCCAUAACUGACGCUGAGGAGCGAAAGCGUGGGGAGCGAACCGG
rnacentral:rRNA from 1 species